GAUCCUGGCUCAGGAUGAACGCUAGCUACAGGCUUAACACAUGCAAGUCGAGGGGCGAGCAUUUUAGUUUGCUUGCAAACUGAAGAUGGCGACCGGCGCACGGGUGAGUAACACGUAUCCAACCUGCCGAUAACUCCGGAAUAGCCUUUCGAAAGAAAGAUUAAUACCGGAUAGCAUACGAAUAUCGCAUGAUAUUUUAUUAAAGAAUUUCGGUUAUCGAUGGGGAUGCGUUCCAUUAGUUUGUUGGG
rnacentral:rRNA from 1 species